rnacentral:rRNA from 1 species
AUUGAACGCUGGCGGCAGGCCUAACACAUGCAAGUCGAACGGAGUGGCGGACGGGUGAGUAAUGUCUGGAAAACUGCCUGCUUGCGGGGGAUAACGUCCGGAACCGGGCGCUAAUCCCACAUACUAUCAGAUGAGCCUAGGUCGGAUUAGCUAGUUGGUGGGGUAGAGGCCUACCAAGGCGACGAUCCGUAACUGGGCUGAGAGGAUGAUCAGGCACACUGGAACUGAGACACGGUCCAGACUCCGACGGGAGGAAGCAGUGGGGAAGAUUGGACAAUGGGCGAAAGCCUGAUCCAGCCAUGCAGCGUGUGUGAAGAAGGUCGUCGGAUUGUAAAGCACUUUAAGUUGGGAGGCGUUACCAACAGAAGAAGCACCGGCUAACUUCGUGCCAGCCGCCGCGGUAAUUC